rnacentral:sRNA from 1 species
AUAUGAAACUGUCAGCACCAUGUCUGCCUGCGUGCCGCCAUGCUUCCCGCCACGAUGACGCUGGACUGAACCUCUGAACUGGUUGUCUAUUUGGGAGUCUAAACUUGGAAUGUAAAAUUUGAAACAAGAGGAAAAAAUAUUAGUAAGUGAGAGAUGCUUCUUCUCAUGAUGUAUCUGGAUUUAAUCAUAUGCACACUCAAUUAUGCAUAAGCAUAGUAAGGUACUUAGAAGAAGAAGUUUACUUUAUGGUAUAUGUACUACAAACCAGACUAGGUUGUAUCAGCACAUUUCCCAUGGUUCCAAGUUUAUUAGAGGAAGUGCUGGGAAGGAAACAGAUAUUAACAGGAGGUUGCUAAGAAAGAUCUAUGUACUCAAGCCAAGUCAGCAUGGAAUGAAGACCUUCUCAAUGUUAACUUCAAAGCAACCAGAUUUCCAGAAGAAAAAUCUCUACAUUCUGUACGAAACUUCCUCAUUUCUGAAGCUUCCUGGGCACAAUUUUUCUCCUGUUGACAGGGCCCAGCCUGGACCACUCGAAGGCCAGCAGAGAACUUCUCAGUCAAGUCAGGUUGAGUCACAGCCCCACGUAAAGUCUGCUGAGGUCACUGUAGCAGAGCCAGAACAGUUGAAUUGUAUAAGCCACAGAAUUUUAUAUCAGCGCUACUGUGAGGGGAAGCCUAGAUCAAGUCUUACGCACUGAGAAAGGAUGUCAUAUCUGGGCAUUGCCCUUCUCCUUUAGGAGGGCCCGUGUGCCUUUUGUAGGCCCAGGACAUGAGGUCAGGAUGGGAAACGACACAAAAGGACGGCUAGCUGCAAGGCCUCAUGGGAGAAGGAGCAGCGUGAGGAGACCCGGAUGCAGAGCAGCUGUCUCCAGAGCAAUUACAAUUUAGAGGAGAUUGAGAGACCAGGAAAUGAAUCCAAAGGCCAGAAAAUCAAAGCGAAAAGGCAAUGACAUUUCCAGGAAGGACAACGAUACAAGAGGAAGAUUUGGAAUAUCCCAUGCAAAGAUCUCAGUACUCUGGUUGCCUGUUGCUAGUGUUUGGAUGGGGUUUAUGCCCCGAUGAUUUAUUCAUCGACUGCUUGGUUGUUAGUGUGACAAUACUAAGAAGCGACAGACCCUUAGGAGACAGAGCCCGCAGCAAGGUAAUUAGGCCAUCAGGGAACCGAUGCUGUUCUCAUGGAGUGAGUCCUUUCCAGGGAGGUUUGCUUUCUACCCUGCCCUGGGAUUUCUUCCUCUUGCACGUCCUUCUGCCGUGAUAUCAUCUACCAUAACGUGAUGCUGUAGGAGCUCUUGCCACAAUUAAUGCUGUGCUAUGUGGGCCAGGUCAAGCAUGGAGAGAGAAAGAAUUCAGUGCCAAAAGUUUGAUGAGCAGGGUUGACUACCAGUGGGAAAACGUAUCCAGGAACCAAGUCUCCAGAGGCAGAGGUACUGUGAAGUAAGGUUGCAGGACCUCGUUGGUAGAGACGCUUUCCAAAGACCUAUGCCAUACACUGAUGAUGUACCCAUAUGGCGACAUAGUAGACAACAUAGUUCCCCUUGACGUCUUAACUCAGGCGGUUAAAUUUCGUGCUGUCCUUCCAACUUCCCCUCCUUCCUCCUUGCCCGUGUUUCAGGAGGCCCCGAGCAUCCACAGACCUUUGAGGUAUCUAGCUGAGGGGAAUCUGAGUUGGGGAUACAUUUAGACUGACUAAACGGGAUAUUUUCUUAAAGUUCUGACUAGAGUACAUGCAUAGCCUAUCCCUUUGUAAGGGUGCCCUUGGGGGUAUGCAUGCUGACUGCUGAUUUGGCCAGCUUCCUGACAAGGAUUCAGGUCAUAGCAAGAUAAGAGUGAAUUCUUGGGACUGGAGAGAUUGCUCAGUGGGUAAAGCGCUUCCCGUACAAGCCUAAGGACCUAUACUCAGAUCCCCAGAACCCACAUAGGGCUCAAUAUGGUGCAUGUGUCUCUAAAUGUCAGCUCUCCACCAGAGACAGGAGAAGCCCUGGAAACUUGAGGGCCACCUACGCCGGAGCGGUCAGCAAUAAACGCCAAGAAAGCGAACGAGGUGGCCGACGAGAACCAACAUCCAAGGCUGACCUCCGACCUCUUCCACAUGCUUGUAGUAGGAAAUGCUCAUCUGCGUAUCUGUGUGCUCAGGCACACGCACACAGAUGUCUGAACAAACAAAAACAGGGAGAGAGAAUUUUCCAGAACAGUGGAGAAGAAAUAAGUUUUGACAUGCUGGGAUCCAGCCUCAUUUAGGAACAUUCUAUAUUACUCGAGGAAAACUAGAGGAUGCAGUUCAGUCCAGAAUUAAAGUUGUAUCCCAUCAGGAAUGAAUAUGCUAAAUGACAACAUAUUCAGGUUUAGUUCUCCUUGCGUGUUUUUUUUUCCUUUGGUGGCAAUUGUAUGAAACGAAAUUCCUGUGUCAUAGGCGCCAUCCUGAAGCAGGACUGAAAACAGCAUGUCAGUGUGUGAAGUUGGGAGUUUUUCCUUCAGCCUAAUUACCCACGAUAGGAAACACGUUCUAACACUGUGUGCUAGGAGAAGCAUUAAACUGUCUCCUUAAUCUACCCACAGAGAUAUUAUAAAGCUGUUGCUGUAUGAAGACGGGAUCAAAGUAGGCAGUCCAUUUUUUUUUAAAUGUAUUA